UUGUGUUUUGAUUCUCUCUCUCUCUCUCUCUCUCUGCCGAACUGUCGUCAGGAUGGCUACAUGCUAGUCUUUUGCUGAAAAUGUUAUUGUUUUAUGUGAGAGAGUCAGAUAUUUAAGCGUCUGAGUUUCAUCAUCAGCGCAGAGAGCGAAGCUUUUUGCCGUCGGUUGAUUAGCGGACUGUGUGUUUUGUGACGAAAACGGAAGAGAAACCUUGGACAGAUGAGAGCCGUGUAUUCUGCCUUGUGUCCGGAGUGUGUGUGUGAUGUGAUGUGAUGCUUGAGCCUCUGGCCGGGUCUUUUUUCCUUUUUAUGGAUUCCUGGGUUGAGAUCUGCUGGGAUUCCUCCCAUUUUGUAAAGGUAGAAGGGAACCUCAGUAGUCGUGGCAAGCUACCCAAAACAGAGACUGGGAUUUAUUCUGUGGCUGGAUUUGUUGUUAACUGUUGUUGACAUCUUGUGUGUCGCUGACAAUUUAAAUUACUUUUGUCUAUUUUUAUUUUUUUUGUUUUGUUCUUUAAGUCAACACAAUAUAAUACCUUUAAAACAUAUUUGUUGGUUGUGUGAAUUCUUUAUUCUGUCACUCAAUGCAUAUUGCUAAUACCCCUUUCUCCUAUAGCGAUCUAGACUGGUUUCCUAGCCCAUGAGGUAAUUAAUGCACUGAUAGAAUAAACAUAUCUGUAUCUCCCAGUCUUUAUCAUAAACAGUUAUAGUUGAGGUGGGUUACAGAAGCUUAGGGCAAUGGUCUCCCUUUCCGUGGCAACGCCAAGUUUCCCUAGUUGUCCUUGUUUCAGCGUAAUGCGAAACCAUUAGAAAAACAAAUCCAAACAGUGAAAAAAAUAAAAAAAUCAAACAUUUAGUGUACAUAUCAUACUAUGAUAUGAAGUUAACAUCUUCAUAUCAUAAAAUGUUAACUUUAUUUGUUGGUUUUAUAUUAAGGGACAUUAAACAAUGGACAAAAAAAUCUGGAAAUAGGCUUAUCUCAGCAUAAUGCGCACAAAAAAAAGACACCAAAAGGAAAACACAUC